UACGUAGGUGGCAAGCGUUGUCCGGAUUUAUUGGGUUUAAAGGGUGCGUAGGCGGCUUUGUAAGUCAGUGGUGAAAUACGGUAGCUCAACUAUCGAGGUGCCAUUGAUACUGCGGAGCUUGAGUACAGAUGAGGUAGGCGGAAUUGACGGUGUAGCGGUGAAAUGCGUAGAUAUCGAGAGGAACACCUGCGGCGAAGGCGGGUAGCUGGGCCGACACUGACGCUGAGGCGCGAAAGCCAGGGGAGCGAACGGG
rnacentral:rRNA from 1 species